UUAAUGGAGACCAGUAUGAAUGGCAUAACGAGGGCUAAGCUGUCUCCUUCCUCUAGUCAAUGAAAUUGAUCUGCCCGUGCAGAAGCGGGCAUGUGCACAUAAGACGAGAAGACCCUAUGGAGCUUUAGACACCAAGGCAGCCCGCGUUAAUAAAUCCCCUUUAAGGUAUAAAACAAAGCGACCAACCUGCCCCUUGUCUUUGGUUGGGGCGACCGCGGGGGAACAUGAAGCCCCCAAGUGGAAUGGGACAACCUCCCCGAGAAAAGGCCCCCAGGCCUAUUCACCAGAAAAUCUGACCAACAAGAUCCGGUAAUCCGAUCAACGGACCUAGUUACCCUAGGGAUAACAGCGCAUUCCCCUUUUAGAGCCCACAUCGACAAGGGGGUUUACGACCUCGAUUUUGGAUCAGGACCUCCUAAUGGUGCACCCGCUAUAAAGGGUUCGUUUGUUCAACGAUAAAGGUCCUACGUGAUCUGAGUUCAAACCGG
rnacentral:rRNA from 1 species